GACAGAGGGGGCAAGCGUUGCUCGGAAUUACUGGGCGUAAAGGGCGCGUAGGCGGGAUGGCAAGUCGGUCGUGAAAUCCCUCGGCUCAACCGAGGAACGUCGAUCGAUACUGCUGUUCUUGAGGAUUGCAGAGGAGACUGGAAUUCCCGGUGUAGCGGUGAAAUGCGUAGAGAUGCGGAGGAACACCGAUGGCGAAGGCAGCCCCCUGGGCUAGCACUGACGCUCAGGCACGAAAGCGUGGGGAGCAAACAGG
rnacentral:rRNA from 1 species